rnacentral:rRNA from 1 species
CACUCCUGCGGGAGGCAGCAGUAGGGAAUCUUCCACAAUGGGUGCAAACCUGAUGGAGCAAUGCCGCGUGAGUGAAGAAGGUCUUCGGAUCGUAAAGCUCUGUUGUUAGAGAAGAACACGUGCUAGGUAACUACUAGCGCCUUGACGGUAUCUAACCAGAAAGUCACGGCUAACUACGUGCCAGCAGCCGCGGUAAUACGUAGGUGACAAGCGUUGUCCGGAUUUAUUGGGCGUAAAGGGAGCGCAGGCGGUCUGUUUAGUCUAAUGUGAAAGCCCACGGCUUAACCGUGGAACGGCAUUGGAAACUGACAGACUUGAAUGUAGAAGAGGAAAAUGGAAUUCCAAGUGUAGCGGUGGAAUGCGUAGAUAUUUGGAGGAACACCAGUGGCGAAGGCGAUUUUCUGGUCUAACAUUGACGCUGAGGCUCGAAAGCGUGGGGAGCGAACAGGAUUAGAAACCCCAGUAGUCCCAUG